rnacentral:lncRNA from 1 species
ACUGAGAUAUUCAAACAAGGACUAAGCAAAUAUUCUGAGCUGGAUAAAUAUCUCUAUGAUGGAGAUCACAAAAACAGCUGAUGAAGCAUCAAAGAAAGGCCCCACCAUAAUAGUGGCCUUGGCAACUUUCAAAGGACAUAAGUGUUCUAGCUGCACACAGCUGUCUCAGCACCUGUGGCCAUCUUCACCCUCACAGCAUAUCCUCUCACAGUGCCUGAGAAGCUUUUUGGUUCAGUUUGUGGCUUGAAGCUAAGAUGACAGAUUCCAGGGAAUGAUCCAGACUUUCAGCAGAUGCAACUAGUGAGUAAUAUCUAUUCUAGUGCCUAUCAUGC